UACGAAGGGGGCUAGCGUUGUUCGGAUUUACUGGGCGUAAAGCGCACGUAGGCGGAUUGUUAAGUCAGGGGUGAAAUCCUGGAGCUCAACUCCAGAACUGCCUUUGAUACUGGCAAUCUAGAGUCCGGAAGAGGUAAGUGGAACUCCUAGUGUAGAGGUGGAAUUCGUAGAUAUUAGGAAGAACACCAGUGGCGAAGGCGGCUUACUGGUCCGGUACUGACGCUGAGGUGCGAAAAGCGUGGGGAGCAAACAGG
rnacentral:rRNA from 1 species